rnacentral:lncRNA from 1 species
CAGCUAGCAUGUAUCCCUUCUAAGGCCUCGGGACGAAGUAGAAAGACAGGCAGCGUCUAAGUGUGGACACAGCGAGAGGCUCAGAUGAAUCUCAUCCUGUGUCUGAGGCCCCGCCCCUGAGAACACACCCACACCCAAGACUCAAACUCAGCCUCUGAUGUCCCUGCUCUCCCUUCUUGUGUUUCUUCACUAGAAAGCUUCCUCUGCUGUGAAAAGAGAUCCAAAGACAGCAGGGGUGGGGUGUGGCUACUGAUGGACAAAGGACCUUGCACUUCCUCACUGGGGGGUCCUGGUGGAUCAUCCCAUCUCUCAAACAUGGUGCAUUAAUACUGAGACCCUCCUAGAAUCCAGAUCCCUUAGAGCUUCCAGCCUCACCGGGUCAUAGUCAGAACUGGGAGACACAAUUAAAGAGCUUUGUUCCCAGCCUACACAGAAGGCCCACCCUUGCCACCUUCUGCGGGCACAAGGGGGAUGAGCCUCAUUGCUCUGUCCCACCGUGCCAUAGUAGUGAUUAGGGAGACCUGACAGACGAUUUAACUUUUCUAAGACAAAAGAGGGGGGAGUGUGUCUUAACCUAUGUCACCGGGUCAUGUUCUUGCAAUUUCAGGUGAAGCAAGCACGGGAAGCUAUGAGUGUUUCCAGUUUUCAAUAGAGAGAUUACAUCUCAAAAUCCCUAGAUUCCACGAGCAUCCAAUAAAACCUGUUAAUAGUGCCUUUUAUUGAUAGUAUUAAUACUUCCUUUAUCUGGAGAUAGUCAGAAAUGGCAGCCUAGAGCCGUGGUUCUCAAGCUUUGGAGCAUAGCACAGCACAAAGGGGCCCCGAUAAAACCGCAGACUGCUGGGCCUCAUGACAAGACUUCUCCUUUCAGAGCAGUUCCCAAGCAAUGCUGAAGCUGCCGGUCCAGGGCUCUAAAGCUUCAAAGCCACUUUUUGCCUUCUCUUCACAGAUGUCACAACUAGCCACGAGAGCCUGUUAUAGCCCUUCAAGUUAUCACAGACCCGUGGCCGGAACUUCAAGCCUGCCUUCAUCAGCGAGACUGUCCACUGAGGUGGUUUCCAAACCAACCUUGCAAAUUGUAAGCUGCCAGUAACAAGCAGCCAGAAGAAAUGCUUACCCACCAUCCAACACGGCUGAACUCACCGUUCCCUAGUUAUCCUUGGCAACAGCCAACUGCACAACAAAAGAACCCUUCCCAUCUCCUUCUACUUGUCCUGCAGUAGCGGCGCCUUUGCCUGCAAGCAGCGCCUGUUCUGCCCUGAUUCUUUCAUCAGAGGAUGAAUCAGCAGGACUUCCCAAAACUAAAAUUUUAUUGAAGUUGAAUCACUCAUUUUCUAGAUUUCUUCCCCACCACCUUUAUAAAUUCUUCAUUUUAAAUAGAAAAUAUUAGGACCAGAAAAAGACUAUUUAAUAAUAAUAAAAACAGCACCAGGCAUGAGAAGCCUUCUUCUGAGUUCUUGGUGGGUUGUCCAAGAGACUUCUAAAAUCAUGUAAACUUUGGUAUUGCCCCCCAGAGGCAGAAGUUAAAUCCCUGUUGCUGAAGACACCACGUACGUCUGAAGCAGGGCCCAAAGGCCCAGGAACCGGACCUGAUCUGACAGUCUCCUUGCUAAGGCCUAGAUUCCGUGUUACCAAAAGGCACUGUGUAAACUUCCAAAGGAAGAAAGCAACUCACAGUCCUACCCAGAUGUGAUAUCUGUGAACCACAGUAACAACCAACCUACCACAGAAUCCAAUGCUACAUUAUUCAUAUCUCCGCAGUAACCAACAGCUCUCUAAAUGGAGUUAAGACCUGCUCACUAAGCGGGAAGCCAUGCCUGGUAUUAGAAACCCAACCAACUACUCAGGGCUAAUGACGUCAUAGAUCCUCACGGAGAAUCAGCCUCCACUGCUGGACUCAGCCGGCAUAAUCCCUAACCCCAUUCUAAAUAUGUGUCCUUAUACUCAGAAAUCAGUGCAGUCCUCGCCCCUC